rnacentral:lncRNA from 1 species
CCAUAAUGUUGCUUCAACAUCAGCCAGCGGUGAUAGAGCCAACUGGCCACAGACUACAGGCCUCUGAAACAGAUGUGUGGAAGGAGGAGGUGCCUUUUCAAAGAGAAAUUCAGAGCCGCAAGGAGAGAGCUGCAGUGUGGAACCAUCAGCAUAGUUCACUUGGACUGAGUCAUCCUCGUACAGUACCAUUCGCACUUCAGCUGCCGUUCCCAUGCCUGGGUACGCCACACUUCUCAGCAGGGACUGUAGAAAAUAGGACACAGCAGCACAGGCCGACUUAAGGCUCAGAAGCUCUGUCAAGCCAAACACGUGUACUUCCUAAGAACACGGGGCAACACACACUGCCACUGUGUAUACUCUUAGUGCUGGGAUCUAAAAUAAAUGUCUUUCCUUAAC